GGGGUCAGUCGGGUAGUCGCGUAAACCAAAGGUUUGCGAGGAAAGUCCGGGCUCCGCAGGGCAGGAUGCUGGGUAGCACCCAGUGGGAUAAGUGUAAAAGCUUGUCCAAGCGCAAGUGCAACAGAAAAUAUACCGCCGGAUAUUUUCCGGUAAGGGUGAAAUGGUGGGGUAAGGGCCCACCAGCAGUCUGGUGACAGGCUGGCUUGGUAAACCGCAUCCGGAGCAAGGCCAAAUAGGGAAGGCAUAGGGUUGCCCGCUCUUCUUCCGGGUUGGCCGCUUGAGGUAAACAGCAAUGUUUAUCCCAGAUGGAUGACUGCCGCUGAUCGUGUGUGAUGCACGGUUAGUACAGAACCCGGCUUAUAGACUGACCCCGUUA
rnacentral:RNase_P_RNA from 1 species